UACGUAGGCAGCGAGCGUUGUUCGGAGUUACUGGGCGUAAAGGGUGCGUAGGUGGUGAUGCAAGUCUGGUGUGAAAUCUCGGAGCUCAACUCCGAAAUUGCACCGGAUACUGCGUGACUCGAGGACUGUAGAGGAGAUCGGAAUUCACGGUGUAGCAGUGAAAUGCGUAGAUAUCGUGAGGAAGACCAGUUGCGAAGGCGGAUCUCUGGGCAGUUCCUGACACUGAGGCACGAAGGCCAGGGGAGCAAACGGG
rnacentral:rRNA from 1 species